CCCGCACAAGCAGUGGAGCAUGUGGUUAAUUCGAAGCAACGCGAAGACCUUACCAGGUCUUGACAUCCCGAUGCUAUUUCUAGAGAUAGAAAGUUACUUCGGUACAUCGGUGACAGGUGGUGCAUGGUUGUCGUCAGCUCGUGUCGUGAGAUGUUGGGUUAAGUCCCGCAACGAGCGCAACCCCUACUGUUAGUUGCCAUCAUUCAGUUGGGCACUCUAGCGAGACUGCCGGUAAUAAACCGGAGGAAGGUGGGGAUGACGUCAAAUCAUCAUGCCCCUUAUGACCUGGGCUACACACGUGCUACAAUGGCCGUUACAACGGGAAGCGAAGGAGCAAUCCGGAGCAAAUCCCUUAAAGGCGGUCCCAGUUCAGAUUGUGGGCUGAAACUCGCCCACAUGAAGGCGGAAUUGCUAGUAAUUGCAGAUCAGCAUGCUGCAGUGAAUACGUUCCCGGGCCUU
rnacentral:rRNA from 1 species